rnacentral:rRNA from 1 species
UACGUAGGCAGCAAGCGUUGUUCGGAAUUACUGGGCGUAAAGAGUGUGUAGGCGGUGCUCUAAGUCUGUUGUGAAAUCUCCCGGCUUAACUGGGAGGGUGCGGCGGAGACUGGAGUGCUAGAGUGUGGGAGAGGUAAGCGGAAUUCCUGGUGUAGCGGUGAAAUGCGCAGAUAUCAGGAGGAACACCGGUGGCGAAGGCGGGUCUCUGGGCCGAUACUGACGCUGAGGAGCGAAAGCGUGGGGAGCAAACAGG